rnacentral:rRNA from 1 species
CUCGUAGGCGGCCAACUAAGUCAGACGUGAAAUCCCUCGGCUCAACCGGGGAACUGCGUCUGAUACUGGAUGGCUUGAAUCCGGGAGAGGGAUGCGGAAUUCCAGGUGUAGCGGUGAAAUGCGUAGAUAUCUGGAGGAACACCGGUGGCAAAGGCGGCAUCCUGGACCGGUAUUGACGCUGAGGAGCGAAAGCCAGGGGAGCAAACGGGAUUAGAUACCCCGGUAGUCCUGGCCCUAAACGAUGAAUGCUUGGUGUGGCGGGUAUCGAUCCCUGCCGUGCCGAAGCUAACGCAUUAAGCAUUCCGCCUGGGGAGUACGGUCGCAAGGCUGAA